rnacentral:rRNA from 1 species
AGUAAUACAUCGGAACGUGCCCAGACGUGGGGGAUAGCCCGGCGAAAGCCGGAUUAAUACCGCAUGAGAUCUGAGGAUGAAAGCAGGGGACCUUAGGGCCUUGCGCGUUUGGAGCGGCCGAUGGCAGAUUAGGUAGUUGGUGAGGUAAAGGCUUACCAAGCCUGCGAUCUGUAGCUGGUCUGAGAGGAUGAUCAGCCACACUGGGACUGAGACACGGCCCAGACUCC